rnacentral:rRNA from 1 species
GAUGAACGCUGGCGGCGUGCCUAAUACAUGCAAGUCGAGCGAACAGACGAGGAGCUUGCUCCUCGGACGUUAGCGGCGGACGGGUGAGUAACACGUGGAUAACCUACCUAUAAGACUGGGAUAACUUCGGGAAACCGGAGCUAAUACCGGAUAAUAUAUUGAACCGCAUGGUUCAAUAGUGAAAGACGGUUUUGCUGUCACUUAUAGAUGGAUCCGCGCCGCAUUAGCUAGUUGGUAAGGUAACGGCUUACCAAGGCAACGAUGCGUAGCCGACCUGAGAGGGUGAUCGGCCACACUGGAACUGAGACACGGUCCAGACUCCUACGGGAGGCAGCAGUAGGGAAUCUUCCGCAAUGGGCGAAAGCCUGACGGAGCACCGCCGCGUGAGUGAUGAAGGUCUUCGGAUCGUAAAACUCUGUUAUUAGGGAAGAACAAAUGUGUAAGUAACUAUGCACGUCUUGACGGUACCUAAUCAGAAAGCCACGGCUAACUACGUG